CUCUGAUCCUGACUGAGGAAACCCAGGACACAUCUGGAACUGCAGGUGAUCCUCAACCAUCCCUGACAUUGGACCAGGAAGUGGUGGAACUGUGAGGAAGGGUCAGAGAGAGCAUGCCAAGGACUGGUGAGUCUGCUACUUUUGGAUUACUUUGGUUUUUUUCCCAUUGCAUUGCUGACAUUUCCUUUCUGGGACUGUGGAGGACGAGUUUUUGUUGGACUAGGCUGGAUCAGGACCAUACCUUUAGACAUUUUGGGGGACUGUAAAAGUUGGGACUCCUACUUUUGGUUUUGAUGACUUUUGGGUUUACAAGUUUUUUUUAGACCUAAUUUCAACCGUCUAGAUUCUGUAUAUUUCAGCUGAUUUGUAAGAAAGUAAGAUGGGCGUCUACGACAAACGUUCAUCUGCUUGUUGCACCAUCAGCGAUCCGACUACUUAAUAAAUAAAUGUCAAGUGUCCAGAAGUGUUCUCGGUGUAGAAAUAAUAACACGAAAUAUAAGAUAACAGAUUUUGAAGGACAUCUAUAAAUAUGAGCUCUUCAUUAACACAGAGAGCAGAGAGUCCUGAGGAUAAUGACUCACUUUAUGUAAAUUCUUUGACUUCUGAAGGACUUGUGAGGAUUUGACCCUCUGACCUCUUGGGCCCCGGGAUGACACAGUUAAAUAUUCAUGACCGUCUCCUGUCUGCGUCUGUCUCCCUCUCUGUGUUUUAAAGUCAGACUUUUACUCCGAUGAGCUCUAAGUUUGUCCGCCCGCUUUACUCCUCGCUGUAGUUCCCUGGAUUAAAACAUACCUGCGUGUUUGUCACUGAUUGAUGUCGGAAAGCUCGGCGUGUGUCCCGAGGCGACCGUCGGCGCCGUUUUAGCAACACGCCGCAAGACAAAUCCAAUCAGCUUCCACGCCUCCCUGAACAAGAGGCUCCGUGAAAACAGCUGCUUUUUAUUCACCGCAUCACAUGACCACGGGUUGAUUUAACUUCCUGUCAUCUCUUACAAACCGCAAUCAAAGCCUUUCCAACGAGCCUAAUGAAACACAGAUGGCAAAUUUCGGUUGAUGAUAUAGACGAGAAAGCAACAAAAUCAGCGUCGGUCUCAGGGUGUGCAGAGAGAAACGUUUGUUUUUAUGAGCGUGUUGUUUGUUCUGAGAUGAUCCACACUUAGAGGGAUGGUGUAAACAGACUCCUCAGGACCACUCUGGGUUUUCUAAAGCUUCACCAACAGCCUUGGUCGACCAUGGAAACAUGCGCCGAGCGUCCUCUUCUUCCCUCGCUCUCUCUUCUCUGCAUCAUCUCUUUUGUGGCUCUUUCCCUCUUCAUGCACUGACCUCCUCAUCUUGCUUUUAAAGUACUCGUUGCUUGUUGUAUCCGGCCUUCCUGUCAUCCUGAGACAUUGAACUGAUGUCUGUUAUGAUCCUGAGCUCAGAGGUGGAUGUGUUUGUGUUCCUGCGCUGUUUUUAACCUCUUUAGGAGCCACGCCACUCACCCUGCUUCUCUGUUCAACCUGCUCCAACUCUCAGCGUAAAUAUUUUCGAUAUCUCUGCCGUUGUCUCCUCCGACGUCUCCCUUCUUUUCGUCUUUGUAACAAUGAAAGUAUAUUUAACUGCUGCUGCACAAACUAGACCAGCUCAGACUCAAGGCUGGAACAAACACUGGCGAGCAAAGAUAUUAGGGCUGAAACGAUUCCUCAAAUACCUCGAUUACAAAUAAUGAUAAAGGAAUUUUCUCCGCCCUUAAAUCGUCACUGUUUCGCACGGAUUCUUUUGAAGGUGACACAAUGCGCUCACGUCACCACAGUAGAAGGAGGAGUAAGCGCUGUUUAGGUUUUGUGAAGCGGAAAACAUUGCUGGAGUCGUAGCAGAAGCAGGUAAAAGGAGUUAUUCAACUCUCGGACACUAAUGUCUUUAGGGGCGUGAUAAAAGUUAGCAUCAUAAUUAGCUUUCUUACGAGCAUCGCAGUCCGCUAACCAAAUGCUUGUUCCACGAGUCGCCUCUAUUUCUCCGAGUCUGGCCUUCAUUGCAGGACUAUAGGAAAUCUAACUGUAUGUGAGUCUGACGUUUGGGUCCGAUCACUCGAGUAAUCGAUAGAAUAUUCGGUAGAAUACUCAAUUACUAAAAUAUUCGAUAGCUGCGGCUCUAAAAGACAUUACAGUCUCUUUAUACAGUCUAUUUUUAUCUGUGCAAUUCUUCACCCAAACACUAGUUGGCAGUGAAAUUUCUACGCUUUAGCUUGGUAUUUGUUUCCAGGUCUGGGACGCGCCAAAAGAGAGCAAAGUUGACCAGCAUUGACGGGCAGUAACGCGUAAUCCAAGGGUGGAGAAUUGACAGAGAAUGCUAGGGACACGUCCCGACCAAUCAUCAGCUGCUACAGUGUAGUCCCUAUCAAAACAACCACAACCAAUGAUUAAUGCACACAAAGGGUUAACAGUCGGUCUCUGUUGGAAGUCCCGCCUCUAACCUAAAUGUCGCUCUUCCAUUGGCUGCCGGUUUCUCGCUUACAUACAUGUGAUUGGCUGUCCCCGCUGUCACUACAUCUGCCUGUAAAACAACAACAACAACAGCAGGUCGGUGUCAGACGUCAGAAGUAUCUACAACUGCUGCUGGGCAUGUUGGAGAAACAAGAAGAUGGAGCAUCGUACAGCGUUGUUUUUGUCCGACAUGAUGGACGCGCUACUUUUUCUAAAGAGGAGACGCACGCUACUCCUCGUGUUUUUGUUCCAGGGUUACGGGGGCGUGGCUCACGCGCACUGUGAGCAUUGUCUGAUCAUACUCCGACUACGCUGGUUACAUGGUAGAGAAAAUCGGAUUCCAAUCACAUUAUCUAGGUGUCUUAGUUUGAGUUCUCAAACUUGGAUUAUAGUCGGACUAAGGUGUUUACAUGCACUUCAGUUGUCUGAUCUUUAUCGGAGUAAGGAAUAAUUCAUUUUUCUUGAGUGUCGUGUAAACAUCCUGACUGUAUCUUGCAGUGAUUAAUAUGGAGUAUACAUGUUCUGUAAACCUGAUGCAGCUCCUCUGAGCUGUUUUGGAGCCGAGUUUGUCGUUUUCAGCAGUUUUUGUUCCUCUUCUUUGUGGGAGUCGCAUCGAUACGAAGCAUCUUCAACCGGGAACAGGACAGAGUGUUCACAUGGUCGUUAAGCCCACACUGAUAUACGCUGUACUCGCUGUUGCCUGGGUUUUAUUACCAAGUCCCAGUCUCUGCUGAGUAGUUUGGGAUGGUACUUCAUGAGGCCUACCCUCCAUGUGAGCACACAAAUCCAGCUGAAGUGCUGAGACGGAGGGCGUUUGAGAGAAGCCCUCAGCUGUACGAGCCACGCUGUUCUGUCCAGUGUUUGUCGUUCCUAAUAUCAUAAUUGUGGGGGUUUAUGAGUACAGAAACAAUGUCCUGCUGAAAACAAUGACAGCUGUCAGCUUGAAGCUCCAGUAAGUGGCUUUAAUUUUCAGAAAGCACAUCAACAGGCCUCUAAAACCUGCUCUUCUCUGAGAACAAACAGCUCUCUUGAAAUAAGAGUGAAUGAUAAAAUGAAAACAUGUCUGCUCUACACAAACAACACACCUCUGAGUAAACCGAACCAAGAACAAGGUCACCGUGUUAAUCUGACGGAAACAGAAAAUCUCUCAAUUGGACUCAGUUAAUGAAGCUUUAAGAGGCAAUAAGAGAUAAAUAACCAGGAGAGGUCGGACCCCCCCUGCUUCCUACUCUUCACCUUGACUCUGCUCUAAAUUAUUCAAAUUGGACUUUAACGACAUCUUUCAUGACUUCCAACUGUAUGCAGAGAUGCAGGUGCUAAUCAGUGUUGAUAAUAAAUUGUAAUGUCAACGACUUAUUAUGCUGAUAUAAUCCUCAAACGCCUGGGGAUAAUAAAUCGGGCUCCUGCGUGUUCCUGCCAAAGAAGGCUUGAAAAGUCGCAUUAAUUAGCGGCGAUAAAUCUGGCUCGUAACUUUAAUAAUGACCUUGCCUCCACUCUUUGUCUUGCAGGGAUCAGUGAUCUCAGUCUGGUCUCUGAUAAUAUUGUACCGGCUCAGGUAUUACAGCGUCAGCACUAUGCAAAUCUCUCCAUUAAUGCCGGAAUAAUGUGGUCGGGAAUGCUUGAUUAAUUAAGUCCGGAAAAAAGCUGACAUCCCGGUGUGUGUCGCAGGUUUAUGAUGAGGAUGUAAAGAACGGUUUCUGAUAAGGACGCAGCAGGAAGAUAACGAGCUGGUGUGAUAACGAGCUGUUGACGAUAACACAGUAAAGAGACUCUGAAAGACUGAAUACUCUGCUUUAUAUGAGGAUUAAGAGUUCGUCUGUUUGAGCGUUUGAGUCACAAACUUUGCUUCAUUUUAGCUACUGUCCCUUCAAGCCCUGUCAGCGUUCUAGAAGCUUCCUUCACUGUUGUCAUGACACAAAGUUGUUUUUUACCUUUUUAGGGAGAUUCACUGACCGGUAAAGUCAUGAUGUAAGCAGAUCUCAUUUUGGUCUCACUUAAUUUUAGUGUGACUUUUUCGGAUUACUGCGACACACAAUUACCUUAAAUCUGAAACUUUACUCAUGUAGUUUUGACGACCAACAGACUGACUUAAAGGGAUAUUCCAGUGUAAAUUCAAGUUAGGGUCAAACACGCCGUAACACAGAGUUAGACCCCCCCUCCAGAGAUGAAUGUUGCCGACCGCUUGCUUCUCUACUUAUACCAACUUUAGUCACGACCGCACGACAGCAAUACACAGCGGUCUUCGUCUCCACAAACGCCACUCUAUAGCCACAAAUAAUGCUCAGAACAGCACCUAACUUCAUCAACAUCUUUUUAACUUUGAAUAAUUUCUUUAGCAGAGAGACUAAACACAACUCACCUACUCUCUUCCAGCAGCUGUUUGUUUUAGCGAGACCCCUGACGAGUCGAUCACCGAGUGCAGCGGAUCAUUUACAUGACGUAAUAAUCAUCAAUUUGUACGAAUCGGUUCUUUAGCUGACUGCUCAAACACAACCAGAGAAGGAGAACAUUUAUUUAUGUCACAUGAGAAGUUGAACAGCGCUGGACUCGGGAUGACAGAGCUCCAAGGAUCUCCAUCACAAGUGACCGUUUCCGGUAUCAUUCAGAUUUAUCUUCUGGACAGAGGUUGGACUUAAACACAACUGAGUAUCACUGGCCAGUUAUCUCUAAGAUAAACAGGCUAACCACUGUUCACAUGAUUUUACUAAAAUGUGCUCUGAAGUAUAUGUGUUGUUGACCUUUACGUGUGUAACUACUGCUGCAAACCGGUCCAACAGAACAAAGGGAGCCUUAUGGCUCAUCAGGUUUCUCCUUAUCAAGCUAGACGUCACACUGUUCUGAGUAAAUGUAAACAUCCAGUAAGUUGAAUUAGUUCAGUGAAAAAGAGCAAAUCUAACCUAAAGUGAAAGACAAUAAUAUUUUUCUCUGCAGACGCGGUAGUUCUUCUGUCUUAGCGUCUCGGUCUGAUUGUAUUUCCAUGAAGAAAUGAUCAUAAAUGUUCUUCCUUGAGCUGCGAAACUCCACUGCACUCAGUGAUCGACUUGUCAGGGCUCCCCUACAAACAAGCGGCUGCUGGAAGAGAGUAGGUGAGUUGUGUUUAGUCUCUUUGCUAAAGAAAUGAGUCAAAGUUAAAAAGAUGUUUGGUGUCUAGUACUAUGGCUGUGACCCUAUAUGUCCUGUUGAUGAAGUUAGGUGCUGUUCUGAGCAUUAUUUGUGGCGUUUUGGUUGAGGUUUGCGCGUUGUCGAUGUAGACCGCUGUGUUUUGCUAUCCUGCGGUCGUUACUAAAGUUGGUAUAAGCAAACGGUCAGCAACAUUCAUCUCUCUUUAAAGUUUCUAGUGUUACAGUAUGUUUGACCAUAACUUAAAUUUACUCUGGAAUAUACUUCAACAGUUUGGACUCGUCUCGUCUUGUCUUGUUGUGCAUGAGGAAUGAGGUGAACUCGAUGCCUCCAUGAACCUUCAUUCUUUAUGUUUGCUGUGUCUUUGUUUGUCUGCCUGGUUGGUCUAAAAUGUCUCUGUUACCUCUUAAAUUCGCUCUCACAGGUCGCUCGCUCAUUUCCGUCUGAAAUAGCUCAGCUUUCUCUCACAACUUGCAGGCUGCAAUUUCGAGCACUCAGUGUAAUCAAAUAUAAUUACAGAAAAUCUGUGCAUGAAUUAUUCCUAUUUAUGUGCGUCUGCCGGUCUCCACACGGCGGCCAUCGUUUGAGAUUUUUCCAAACCGUGGCCAGGACGUUUUGUGUCGCUCUGCAAGCCCCUCCAGUUUCAUCAGAGUUUUAUCUCUCUGUGCAGAAAACGGAGCUCAUUCACAUGAAGAAAUGUGUCCUGAUAGCUACAAAUAACAGCUCUGACAGUGGGUGCUCCUGUGCACUGCACUAACAGAGGAUUUAUGUCAGGGUUUGUUGUUUAAAUGGCAUCAUAUUUUUAUCAUCCGAACCUCUUCUGAGCGUGCCGCAGCCGCCGAACCCACACAGCUACACCCAGAGAUCAUCUAUUAAAGACAUUUUAUGCUACAGCCAGCCGAAAUAAAUCUCCAUGAAUGACAGUCCAGAUAAAAUCCUACAUCACACAACAUGCCGUGUGAGGCGAUAAUGAUGAAUUUUACUGCGAGAGAGAAAAAGCAAUAAGAGGCUAAUUUCACAGAAGAAUCUAAAGAAAAAAGCAGCUGUUUCUGUUUAAUAACGUUGUGAAAUCGUCUUUAUUCUGACGUCGUUUUCGUUCGUCCCUCUAAAGGGAGCAGCAGGAGUUUACAGGUGUUGUGUUGUUUACAAAAUUAGCUGAUUGUGAAUAUUAAAUCACAGCUCUGUUCAUCACUAAUGCAGAGCUGAGCUGGUUAAGAUGCACAGAAUCAAUCAUCUAAAUGGGAGCAUGAAGGCGGAGAGUGCGAGAGUGCGCCGUCUAAUGAGUUGAACCUGCGGAGGGGCUCACCGCUCACCUCAGAGAGUGAUGAAACCGUCUUUAACACACAACAGCUGUUUGAUCCCCUAACCUAAAAAAAUAAGAUCACUACAGGAUGUACAGAGAGGUGCUGCUUCUUUAAGUCAAACAACAGGUGAUCUGCUUCUGUCAGACCAAAAGUGGAGAUCCAUAUCCUGAAACCUCAUGAAGCAUUUUCAAAACCCCCAAAAAUCAACAAUCGAGCUUGACAAGUCUGCGAUCAGGUUUCGAGAGUCCCAAAAGUGAAGAUAGAGAUGAUAAAAAAUGUAUUUUGUGUUGCAAAGUAAUGUAUUGCUAGGGGGAACAAAACGUAGAGCACAUCAGAACGAGCAAAAGCGCAGAACCCUGAGAUCAAAACUAUAGACUGUAUAUAGAAAGGACGCCAUCUGCCUCCUCGCCGGGUGAAGCCUCAGCCUGUUUGAGCCGAGUGUCACGACAGCAACUCUCCACGACUCUCCCGCCGAAUGCGCAUAACGCUACUGCGCAAUGUUGGUUUCAGGAAGUGGAGAAAAAAUCGCGGAAAUACCGAGAGCUUUUUGGCUUCAAAUCUGGAUACUGGCAGAAGGCGGAAUACAGAUAGACCGUAGACCACACACAACAGUUUUUAGUCUCAUUCAUGAAACGCUUAAAUCGGGGACAUUUUCGAGGACAGCUUUUGGAAAUCAGGGAUGUUUGGUCACCUUACUCUACGCGCUUGUUCCUCUAAAGAUGAAAGAUGACUCUACUUUCGAUGGAGCAUGCACUGAGCAUGUGUCUAUCUUCACAGAGAAGACCGUCAUAGACAGGAAGUCAAACACAACAAUCACAGAAUAAAAUCUAAAUUAGCCGCUACGCUCCAAACGCUUCCAGUGGGCGAUGACGCACAUUGUCCGAGGGAGCCGGGACGCACCCAACACAGAUCCUGUAGGUUUUCUGCUUUUGACUUUCUGCAGCCUGAAACAACUCAGCCAACUACAUCUGCAACUGCUCCAGGGUUACGAUCCUCCUCUGUCCGGAUAGUCAAACAUGUUAACCGAAUGUUGAAUUCAGUGGGAUAGAAGCGAGUCAGCUAACUAAACCAGUGACACAGGAUUACACAGAGAGACGUUCAGGGUCGGGUUGGUAAAAAGAGAAUUUAGUGAUGUGUUCAGAGGACAAAAAAAAAAAAUCUGUUAAAGGUUAAAAGUUAAAACAAACUAGAACAGACUCUGUAAGAACUUGGAUCAGGAAGGAGUCUCAAUGAUAGUGUCAGUAUGGAUAAAAAUUAAACUCUUGUAUCUGCAGAAAUAAAACAAAAGUAAAAAUGCUUGGUGGUUAAAUAAGUGAGUCUACCUUCUCUCCUAUUUUUCCUACUUGACAGUUUACACAGGUAUUAAAACUUGACGUAAAACUCCGACUCUGAUCAGGAUUUAUGAGGUUUGUCUGAGCCGACCAAACGGCCUCCAAUCUAAACACAUUUCCUCUUUGUUCUGUUUCCUUAAUCGACCCCUCCUGAUGCUAAAAUUAACUCUAAAUGGUAACACCACCCCGUCUGCCUCCUGUCCACCUGUUGUAAAGAGCGCAGCAGGCAGCAGGUCAGAUCAGGCAGGUAAUCGUCUCAUCAGCUCCAGCCUGAAUCAGCUCCUCCAACAUGCUGAUUUUCCGCUGUGGUUAAAAAAGCUCGCUGUACCGCUGAGCGGGAUUAGAGAGGAGCGAACCAACGGAGCGUGCCGGUGCAUUUAAGUGUAUCAAUUCUGAAUCUGAUUAAUCUUUCCUUUGCCAAUCCCAACGACACCAUCAGGCUGGAGUUUCUACGCUGUUGCAUAUUCUGAUCACCCAAACAUUUAACUUUUAUGUCAGAGCACGGCUCGUGUUGUUUGUGUGGACUACAGAGAAGUUUCAGAGCCGGGGAUGUGAGAAAAACAAGAGGUGGAAGUUUUUUUUAUGAUGCAUUUAAAGAAGAAAGUCAGGAAGUGAAAAAAAACAUCAAAUUUGGUUUAUGACGGAGCCUAGAUUGAUGAUUGAUCAACUAAAUCCCUCCGAGCAGCCAGAACUAAAGGGAUGCACGAUUUUCAAGAUCCAUUUGGUGAAUUUCGUGGUGGAUCACAAGAACCCGCGGAUUCACGUGCAACUGCGUGAUAGCAAAUUGUCUUUAGCUGCAAAGGCUAACUAUAAAAGCAGUAGAUUGUGUCCUUCCAGAGGAGGAAAUCUACUUCUAGACUUCUAGAAUCAGCAUCUCCUCAUCCAUGGUGUCAUCGGGGUGAAAUGACGUCUAAAAACCUUUCACUUGUUCGUCUCCGCCCGUUUGCAUGGUGUGAAAUACGAUCCUCCUGAAACACGGAGUGUUUUAUUUUGAAAAGAAGCCGGAUGUUUUAUUUUGUGUCUGUGCCCGACUUCCUUUCCAGCACGGGUUAAUCUGUGCUGAAUUUAUCCGCCAUGCUCCGGCGUCCAGAAAAAAUAGAACUCUUGUGAUCAGCUGAGGAGUCCGGCGAUCCUCAGAGGAACGGAAAGAAGUCGGUGGAAAUUGACACGUUAACUUGAAUGGUUACGAUCAGCUACGAUCGGAGGAUACGACCUUUUCGUAGCUGUUCUGGAGCAACAUCUUCGUUCAUCCAGCUGUGGAGUCCGGUGAUCCGCAGAGGAACGAAGAGAAGCUGGUGGAGAUUGACUUUUUCGUAGCCGUCCCGGAUGCUGUGGAAAUCAGGGGUAACACUGUGACACAGACUUCGGACUUGAGAGCAGGUUUUUGUUCUGGUGCACCCCGGCAUCAUCCGCUCUCCAGCUCCUCCACUUAAACUUCACCCAGACCACAUGAAUAACCGCACAAACUGCAGCAUAAAUUACCAUGGCAACGAACCUGUAUAAACAUGGAGCACCAUUUCAGCUCCGAAAAACACCGGGUUUGACCUGAAGUUACCUCCGAAACUUCUACCACACUUUGGCCUCUUGUCUUUCAGAGAUCGGCACAGACGGAUAACUGCUGCGAGUCUCCAACUUUAUACAUUUUGAUCAGAACAAAGAACAUCGAGGACUGUCACUGGUUGGUUAAUCUUAUCUCAGACAGAUGUGUGUGUGUGUGUGUGUGUGUGUGUGUAGGAGAUCAAUCACAGCCGGUCGAGUAAAACAGUCCCCCCUCCUGUUGCGGUGGGCCUGAUGUGAGUGAAUGUGACAUGUUUUAUUAUAAGUCACAGCGCUUUGCUCUGCACUUCACCUCCAAUUAAGAGCGCUCACCUUCUGUGUGUCGACCUCUGAAGACAAUCCUCCUCUCUCUGCACAUUGAUGAGAUCUGGAUCUGACCUGAACUGGCCUGAACCCCCCACAGACCCUCUCAGAUCUGACACGUCAGAUUACUAAUACCAUGCUGUGUAUCUUUCAGCUGAGAUGUGGAUAAAACAACAUGAAGAAUGACACUCGCACUGCACACUUAAACGAUAACAUAAACAUGAACGAUGGGGGACGCUUGGGGAUCUUGGUGACCCUGUAGCCUUUCUGCUGGACAGGUAAACCGCUUUAACAAAGUAAGACAAGUGUCUGUAACAGAAGUGUUUCUUGUCAAACGGACCUGCUGUAGCGUGUUGUAGCGCCAUCGCUAAACUGUCCUCCCUCGGGUCCUGGACUAUGUCACUUUAUCCUCGUUGUAGAAGUCCUGCAAACAUUGUGUUUGCUGGUAGUCUGUUGGCAUCUACAGUAGCACCAAUGCUUUUGACUUUCACCUUGACUGGGCCCCAUUUGUAAUGAUCUGAAGGAUUUAUCUGCAUUAUAUCUGAAUUUAAUUGGAACGAUACGAGCGAGCAGGAGCGCCUGUUUGUGGGCGGGGCUUGAGAGGAGGAGCUGAGGAGAAAACUGGUUGGGAGGGGUAGAGUUUACAUUCAAGAUUUCUCCUAAAAACUGGAACUAACUCAGAUCCUGACUACAACACCUUUUAUCCCAAAUUUCCACUGCAUGCAGAACAGUGACGAAAAGGCUGAUGGCGCAGAUCGCCACUAAUUGCCGCUGAUCAUUUCCAUCCAAGUCAAAUUCCACCGGCUUCUUUCCGAUCUGCUGCAGUUCAGCGGGCUUCAUAGCCGUUCGCUAAGGUUCUAUUUUUUGUGGACGCCAGAGCAUGCCGUAUACAUUCAGCACACAUGAACCCGUGCUGGAAAGGAAGUCAGGCUCAGACAAGAAAUAAAACAUUUGCCGUCUUUUCAAAAUAAAACCUGAAUUUCUUUAUACGGAUCGUAUUUCACACCAUGCAAACAUGGGCGCGGACGAACAAGUCAUGGGUUUUCAGACGUCAUUUCACCACAUUGACACCAUGAUGAGGAGAUGCUGUUUUUAGAAGUCCAAAAUCAUGGAAUAAUCUCUGACCGGUCUCAUUCCUUAAAUACAGACAAUGGUAAAAAGGAAAUGGCGUGGGACUCUAUAGCAGGAGUAAUGGGAGUGGAUGGUAAGUUACAAAUUCGUACCAAUAUAUAUUUCUUAUACGGUUAUGUGUCUGUCUUUAUAGAGACAGCUCAUUAUCCUGCUAUCGCAUGUGAAUUCGCAGGUUUGUCGUCAUGAUUCCCGCCCUCCAAAAUCCGCCUCAAAAACACAUCUGGUAGGCUUUGGCGCAACCGUUACGCAGUAGCACCGUUCAACACACGGUGGAAUUUGAGGGUUAGCUGUGGGUGAAUAACAGUGUUAGAUGUUCUUGAUAUCUCAGGUGGACUCUGUAGAUCACUUUGGUAAAUGGUCACCAUCCGGGUCUUGAGCGAUUGAAUAAAGCUUUUAAAACUUAGGAAUCGGGUUAUCGACCGUUUCAUGACAGCGUGGCGAGGGUCAUUACACUCAGGUCUUCAGCAUGGACGUCGGUAAACGAUUGGGUUUGGAUUGAUAGUGUAAAGUGAAAUCCGUCGAUCCUCCUACUUUUAAUCACUCACCUUAUCAAUACCAAGUUCAUCAAUACUUUUGAUAAACUGUUACAUCUCCUUAAUUAAAAAGUGCCAAACACUCCCUGAAGUUCUCAUCCUGGACUCAGAGAACUUUAAAUGUGCUCUCCCACGGAACUAUUGAAGAACUCGAUAAUCAAUAGGAAAUAAUAACCAGUUGCAGCCCUCAUUAAAAGUUUCUAACUCGACUUAUUAGAAAACCGUCUAUUCAGUGCAGUUGUUAUCCCCGCUCCACCACCUCCCGUGUUAAUCAAUCGCCUCCGGACUGUGAUGCAGCUCCAGGUCCCCGUUAACGAGCUCAUCAGGUCCAGGUCAGAUCCAUCUGGCUCUGCAGAUGAAGAUCAGCUCCAAGAAUGAAAUGUCUGCAGUUGCCAGAAGUCAUAUCCUCAGUUAUUUUUAAUCAUCAACAGAGCUCACACUCCACUCCACCAGGGGGAUGAAUUCAUAUGCUGCCCACCUCCUCAUUAAGAGGAGCUCGCAGAGGGAGUUGUUGCCAAAGAGUAGCUCCAUGUUUCCUCACCUUUUUCUGCCGGCAAUUAGCGAUCACGCCUCAAACUGUGCGCAGGAUCCAGACUAAGACGGUGAUGAUCUAAUGAAUCUAAUUUAAUCAGUCGAUGAGGAAACAUGAACUAGUUGGACUUGUAACUGAGCUUGUCCGGCUUCUGCAGCGAGUGAUUUAUCAGUAUGAGGGUCAAAGACAGAUUUAUUGGCUUAAUAUAUUCCUGCAUUUUCCUUUCUCUGGUGUAAAAACCUCGUUUGAAUCCACGGAUAACGAUUCUUUCGAUCUUCUGAUUAAAUAAUCACAGAUUUAAAGGCCUCAACACAAACAGGAAGACAACUUGUUAUCGUGAAAUUGCUCAUGAAUCUGCGGGUUCUGAUCGUGAUUCCUGCGGUCCGUAAUCCGCCACGAAAUUUGUCUCACAAACGGAUCCGACAGGGAUUGGCAUACAGCGAAAAUCGCCUCCAUUCCGGAUCAGAGCCAUUCCAGAUGGGGUGAAAAUCCCAGGUUUCUCCUUCUUAAAGCAGUUGAUCUGUUUGAUAUUUCAUAUACAUGAUUAAUAUCAAUCCCUAAACACAUCUAUGUGCCAAUUUCUGCUCUACUGUUAUAGCGCCACCCAGUGGAAACACAUGGUCCUAACUUCUGCAUACAUGGAAUGUACAGAAGACGAACACAGCCAUGGAUUUUUCUUUUUUAUGCACCGUUAUCUCAUGAUAAUGACUUAUCUUGUUUGUUUUCUUGUGAUAACAGAAAUGGCGUUCUCGCCGACCUCAACGGUAACUUUUAAAAAUGCCCUCCAGAUUUGGGAUAUUUCGGAAACGCCGCAGGAACUGAAUGAACUCUGUUACACUGAGAUAACGAGAUAAUAAGUCAUUAUCACAAGAUGACAGUGUAUAAAAAAAACAUCAUGGCCGUUCUCAUCUUCCGUGGGUUUGAGCCUGUUCAUAGAAACAGUGCCCCCUGUUGGACGAAGUGGUAUUACCUCACACGACAUUUUCUAUAUUAAACACAUGCUGACAGUCGGAGUCUGAGUGGAUCUACAGAGACAUUCACCUCCUGGUUUUUCUUCCACUUAUUCCUGCUCAGUCCUCGCUGCAGCACAGUCUCGCUCCGGUGAACAUCCCUCAGCUGCUUCAGGUCCCGACAUAGACCCGUUUAUCGCCACUUGCAGCUUUAAUUAAGCUCUCAUUCUUACACUUUUUAAAACUUUUAUUUCAGUCGCCAACUAGAGGCUCAAUGAAAACCGACAACCUCAGCAACCCUGUCAUUUAAAGACGAGGCUCAGCCGUCCACAAACUCUGCAGGGCAUGAAUGAGUAAGCUCUGCAGCUCCGUCCUGCUCCUCUUGUCCUGACAUUCAGACAGAUUUUUAAAUGAUUUUAAUGCUGCACCUUGUUCACUUCCUUACUUUGGUGACAUUAAGUCAGUGAGGCAUGUUGGGAACUCUGACAUCUGUCAGAAGACGCUGCCUGACGUCCUGGAGCUGGAGUGGUUAAUGUUUAAUUAAUGACUGAAGGCUCCUCUGCCAGACAGAGGUUGUCUGUCACGUCACAUCUGAGGGAAAACAAAGAGUGAGGAGGAAGUCUCCGGUGUCCUUAUCCCACAUCGCUCUGUCUGCCAUCCAUCACUGCUCACAGACCUCCAAGUAUUCAUCAGGGUUUGUUUCGCUCUCUUAAAGAUUUACAUGUCGUGAUGAAAACAUUACCAUCCCUUUUCUUUUUCCAGCCGUGAGAAAAUGUGUGAGCCGAGGCGUGUGAUUGUGUUUAUGUGGGUGUUUUUGAAUCGAGGAAGGGUGACUGUGUGCAUCCACACGUAGGCAUAUGUGCGCGUGUAAAUAUGAAUGCUUGGAUCUGCCUGCAUCACUCAGCGCAUAUGGCGCUGAAGUAAACAAAAGCUAGCGGGCCAUAUGUCUUCCUGCAGGUGCCGCUCGGAGCUGAAGAGCCUGAAAUCCUCCAGAUGUCAUCUCAGUUUUGCUGCGAGGUAUUCUUAACUUUGCACAUCUUUCUUCCACUCGUUUCAAGUUUAACUUUGAAAAAGUGACAGCGGAAAAGAGCGGGUACUUAGAGCGCACAGCUGCUGUAUAAAGAGUCUGUGAAUGAUACCUUACAGGGUAAUUCUUCAGGCACACACUGUCACAUCCUCUCCAUGCUUCCUCACAUACUUUAUGUUUAUCUGUGGUCCCAGUUUUGUCCUUUUCACACUAAAACACUCGCUGUAUUCAGGGCCGGAGGUUGUCAACAGGUAAGGCAGGCAGUUGACUGGGGCCCCAGGCCACUAGGGGGCCCCCAAGGGCUGACGAACCUUACCCCACAAAAAUGUCCUAAAAUAUUGCAACAACUAGUCGUCACAUUACAAUGACAUCUUAGAUGGAUACCCACCUAAAUGGGCCCCAUGUCAUCCCUGUCGCACCACUAUGUGAGCGACGUCCAUUUUCACUGGAGUGUGUCGAUUGAAAUAACGUCAAAAUCAGGCGUGAAGUGAAAUUACUUAUCAGGGAGUAAAAGAAAGUAAAAAUAAAAUAUAUAGCGAAGUUUAGUCAACACUUUAACUGUCUCCACACACCAAGCGCGAGUAAAAUUAUUGACGCGAAUGAAUUACAAGUCAAUGCAAAGACGCGAUUAGAUGCUCCUACUACUCUGGCGGCGCGAAUGACGCAAAUGUUGAAUUUGUUUAAAUUGGACUGAAUUGUUGCAUAAAAUCCUUUUAAGAGUUUUGUUUCCUUUUUAAAUGUCUUUAGAAACGUGUCUCAUGAUUUUGACUUCGAAAGACGUGAACUUGUGAGCUGUGGUGCUUCUGUCCGUUCAAACACACGUAUCAUGAAGGACAAACGCGUCCUUGUGGAUACAUCACGUUUGUGUCGACAGAAUUAAAAGUGGCGGCAAUAAAAAUCUGACCUGCGGUGAUUUUUCUUCAUUUUCAAACCUGUAACUGAGUCUCUUUGUCCAUCAGGCAUCAAGUCCCGACCAAAGCUUUGUGUGAGUCAGUUUCCUGUUGAUGAAACGGACCUCAGACCCGCCUCAGAGUUCUGGUUUGAUCAGACCGUGAGGAUUUUCCAGCCCAGAGGUGUUAGGGGACCAAUAAACUCGCUUUCUUCCAGUCCUGUUGAUGCAAAUUGCUUCUUCCACAUACAU